CCUACGGUGGUCAGCAGUAGGGAAUCUUCCACAAUGGACGAAAGUCUGAUGGAGCAACGCCGCGUGAGUGAAGCAGGGUUUCGGCUCGUAAAGCUCUGUUGGUAGUGAAGAAAGAUAGAGGUAGUAAAUGGCCUUUCUUGGACGGUAAUUACUUAGAAAGUCACAGCUAACUACGUGCCAGCAGCCGCGGUAAUACGUAGGUGGCAAGCGUUGGCCGGAUUUAUUUGGCGUAAAGCGAGAGCAGGCGGGUAAAUAAGUCUGAUGUGAAAGCCUUCGGCUCAACCGGAGAAUUGCAUCAGAAACUGUUGAACUUGAGUGCAGAAGAGGAGAGUGGAAUUCCAUGUGUAGCGGUGGAAUGCGUAGAUAUAUGGAAGAACACCAGUGGCGAAGGCGGCUCUCUGGUCUGCAACUGACGCUGAGGCUCGAAAGCAUGGGUAGCGAACAGGAUUAGAUACCCUGGUAGUC
rnacentral:rRNA from 1 species